AUGAUGGAUCUGAUAACUAUUGACAACGUCCAAUUUAUCAAUGUGUAUCAUGUUCAUAAAACGAAUUCAUGAUAUCUAAUGAACCAAAUCACAAGAUACACACAAAUAAUCGGAUUACUAACUUUUUCUUUUUUUUUUACCCAGAAGCCCCUCCCCUCUUGAGGUCAACAGCUCCUGGAUGUAAAUCGAGGCACUUUGUCGAAAGUGUGUCGCACUUUUACUUUGUCGAAACGUCGCCUGGCUUCGACAAAAAAAGAUCUAACGUAUCUACCAACUAAACUAUCGGAUCGUUUUCAGCUCGUCAAAGACUUUUUUCUUUUCUUUACGAAGCGUUAUUUUUAUUUAUUUGAUUCGCAACAACAGGUGGCACCGUCCGAGACCGAGUCACAGCACAGCAGCGCCCCCAGCGGAAGCGGGAGGUUUCAUCGAGCUGACGUCGACUCCGUCUUCACGGACGGACCCUGGUGUUUGGAGCAGAUGACAGCAACUUUGACGGUAAGUCAUCCUUUUAAAGAAUGUUCCUAUUUGAUUCAAAUCAUCUUUCAAAUCCCACAUUUAUCUAGUGGAAGUCAUGUAUUCAGUGCUCUCACCAAAAAUGUGUCAUUCAACUGGCUGGUGCCAUUAAAGCCGCAAUUAGAGCGGUAAACCCUACAUACUUUUGAACAUCAAGCAAGUAAAAAAAAGAAAAAGACAGAAAAAAGUAAUUUGAAACCACUUGUAACCACUGCCCUAACCCUAAGCUAUAAAUUCUCUUAUAUAAUGAUGCCUUAACCUUAACCCCUGGAGUCUCCUAGAGGGGGAUUAGCAACCACUGCUGUUGAAUGACCACAAGUGGUCAUACGACGCAAUAGCACAAAACAAGACACCAAGGCACACCAGAAAACAUUGUGUCGAGGUCCAACAAGUCGAGUGACAAUGUAAAUUGCUAACACAUUUACUCGUCCCUUCGAUAGCUCAGUUGGUAGAGCGGAGGACUGUAGUGGUGAUGUCAGACAUCCUUAGGUCGCUGGUUCAAAUCCGGCUCGAAGGAAAUAGAUGUUUUUGCACUUUUAGAAAAUCGCAACUGAUGAAAUUUAGAAGAUAUACACGUGUGAUGGUCUAAUUGGAUGAAAAGAGGUGACGUGACUCCGUCUGUCCAAUCAUAUCUCACCGUGUCCAUCUUAUGACAGCCAAUCAGUAUGCUCCAUUUCCAUCUUUUGACGGAGCCGUCAAAUCACGUCGCCGUCAUUCCUACAUAUUACUUUGAUGACGUAAUUUUAAG
rnacentral:tRNA from 1 species